GGUCAUGUGACGCCCGGACCCGCGACUUGUGGCCGGCAGGGCGAGCUGGGGCACGGGGACCGCUCUGACCCAGGGACGUGUCUGCCUCUGGGACGUAGACAGGUGCACGAGCGCCGUAAGGGAUGUCCAGGUGCCCAGGCCGAAUGGUGCACCCCUGGACGUGCACAGAGAAGUACUGGUCCUUUGUGAGGAGGCCCCGCCGUUUGUUUAUCUCGCCCCUGUUCUGGACAUCUGCCUUUCAACCCACUUUCUUUAGCCACGUCUGCUUUUCUUCCUCCCUCAUUGCACCUGUCCGCCCUCCAGCUUUUAGACUCCAGUGGCUCCUGCACAGCCCUGCACCUCCGCAUCCUCCAGCCUUUGGGCCGCUCCUUCAA
rnacentral:lncRNA from 1 species